rnacentral:rRNA from 1 species
ACCGGGAUUGCCUUAGUAACGGCGAGUGAAGCGGCAAAAGCUCAAAUUUGAAAUCUGGCGUCUUCGACGUCCGAGUUGUAAUUUGAAGAAGGCGACUUUGUAGCUGGUCCUUGUCUAUGUUCCUUGGAACAGGACGUCAUAGAGGGUGAGAAUCCCGUGUGGCGAGGAUCCCAGUUAUUUGUAAAGUGCUUUCGACGAGUCGAGUUGUUUGGGAAUGCAGCUCUAAGUGGGUGGUAAAUUCCAUCUAAAGCUAAAUAUUGGCGAGAGACCGAUAGCGAACAAGUACAGUGAUGGAAAGAUGAAAAGAACUUUGAAAAGAGAGUGAAAAAGUACGUGAAAUUGUUGAAAGGGAAGGGCAUUUGAUCAGACAUGGCGUUUGCUUCGGCUUUCGCUGGGCCAGCAUCAGUUUUAGCGGUUGGAUAAAUCCUCGGGAAUGUGGCUCUGCUUCGGUAGAGUGUUAUAGCCCGUGGGAAUACAGCCAGCUGGGACUGAGGAUUGCGACUUUUGUCAAGGAUGCUGGCGUAAUGGUUAAAUGCCGCCCGUCUUGAAACACGGACCAAGGAGUCUAACGUCUAUGCGAGUGUUUGGGUGUAAAACCCGUACGCGUAAUGAAAGUGAACGUAGGUGAGGGCCCGCAAGGGUGCAUCAUCGACCGAUCCUGAUGUCUUCGGAUGGAUUUGAGUAAGAGCAUAGCUGUUGGGACCCGAAAGAUGGUGAACUAUGCCUGAAUAGGGUGAAGCCAGAGGAAACUCUGGUGGAGGCUCGUAGCGGUUCUGACGUGCAAAUCGAUCGUCGAAUUUGGGUAUAGGGGCGAAAGACUAAUCGAACCAUCUAGUAGCU